UAACCUCUAUGGAGCCAGCCGCCGAAGGUGGGACAGAUGAUUGGGGUGAAGUCGUAACAAGGUAGCCGUAUCGGAAGGUGCGGCUGGAUCACCUCCUUU
rnacentral:rRNA from 1 species